AUCUAAAAUGAGGGAAAACAGCCGAACGGCCUAUGUGGUAAUGAGUGAAUGCGGAGACAGAAGUACCCAGGGAGAAAAUGGCGGUAAAGCGUUGAACAGAGACCAGAAAACAGGUAUAAGGUUUAGUGAGAGAAGGAGGUCAGGAAUUUCUCACAAGGAAUAAAGGUGGGGUACCCUUAGUGAGUAUGAGGGCACCCCACACGGUCUGGGAACCUGGG